CCCGGCUGCGAUGUGAAGACCGAAAUUAAACCCUGCAGCAUCCACAAAAGUCAGCUGUUGUUUAUAUCAUUUCUGUUGUUGAGCGGAAUUAAACACCGACCGUGUUUGGUAAACACAUUUUUGGACCUCCAAAUCUUGUUCAAGUGACCAGCAUCUGCGUCAGUUGGACUGGGCGGUCAGACUGUGAUCUUACACAACCUGAGCAGAUACUUUGUAUUGAGGACAGCCGGGGUGAUGAUACAAAGUACAUUACCACAAUAGGGUCAGUUACGGACACCCUUCCUUGUGGCUGCACAGCGUGAGGGGAUUUUCUUGUUUUCUUUCAGGCUUGAAAGCUGAAGAUAAUACAGCCAACUCUUCAAAACUGUGCUGGAUGUGAAUGUAUGUUUGAGUUAGAAUAUUUAAAUCUGAAAAAAUUAUUGUUAUUUACACGUUAAACCAGAAAAAUGGCGAAAGAUAAUGCUAACAACAGACCAGACACGGAACAGCCAACAACCUCUACACAUAAUCAAUCGACCACACCCCAAAAUACAAAUGAACCAACCGUUACUUUGUUACACAGCGAUGCGCACAAUAAUCCUCAGAUACAAGGCUUGUUAACCGAGCUUAGUAGCCCCCAUUUUUCACAUGAUCUAGUUGACACUCCUUCGAGCUGCAUAUAUUACAGUUUGUAUUAGUGGUUAUUUAAGGACCAUUACUACUGGGCAGAUAUAACCUUGAAGCCCAUCUCUUGUUAAAAUGAAUGUUGGGCUGAAAACUAUCCAAAAUCGUAAGUCCCUCCCCAUCCUCUUCUUUAUAUCUUACAGAAAAAACAUGUCUCUCACGUGUAACUCUGUGCUUGUGGAAAAACACCAUGUUACAACCACAUUGUAAAACAUGGAAGUUUACAUCUGUACCACAUGGCAUUGGAACCCUGGCACCCUUUUGUUUAACACCAAACAACUUACCGCUGACACAACAUUUAUUUACUGCCUGGGAAUUUAACAUUCCGGAACCCUAAGCCCCAUUUGUUAAUUAACAUUCCGGAACCCUAAGCCCCAUUUGUUAAUCAUCAAACAUAACCCACCUGUUAUAACACUAGUCUGGUUUGCUCAUCAGGCGUUGUAAAACAUCAAACACUGACACAUCAAUGUAAUCAUAAAUCACAAAGUCACCGGACAUGCAUACGUCAUACCGGAAGUCCCACCCUACAAAUCGGAUGUCCCGCCCACCGGUCACAUCAAUAUGGAAGUCCCGCCCCCCGGGGCCAUAAAUCACCAUUCUGACACAUUAUACCCUACACUAACUACUCAGAUGGUUACCUCUCCUUCAUAGAGUUCAGCUCCUGGCCCAGCCUUGGACACUGUUGUAUGUGGCAUAGUCUCCUUGGCUGUGGUGAAUCUGGAACCAUCAGUGUCCAAUACUCUUACUCUGAACCCAAGGCAGUCUCUCAUAGGUCUGGACUUGGUUUGGCCCUGGAGUGAUCUGGACCACAGGUGUGUGGUACCCCUUCAUUGGACAAGAUUUAUCAGUGAUUCAGGACUCCUACAUUGUGAGAAACAAAGAUAAAAUCUCGGACAACACAAAGUUAGAGUCCCAACUACAGCAGAGAGUUCUGUAUUAGCUAACUCCAUUAAACUCCAAUCUUAUUUCAGUUGUUUCUUAAUCAAACAUGUCUUUCUCGCCCCCUUUUUUCUUUUUUUCGUACUUUGAGAGGAAAACAAAAAAUUUAACUGUAUAUGUGUCAUGUAAAAUGUUAUAAAUGCAAAAUAGGUCAACUCCAUUAAAACAAAUUAAAAUCAUGAUUCAAACAUGUGACUUCUAUAAGAUAGCCAAAUAAACACAUUCUGAAACAGACUGGGUCAUUUAGGAAAAAGAGGGACCACCACCCCGGUCAGCCAUCCCAAAGGCACUGUCCCCGACCGCCACGCGAUGUUGCACAGGCGUGUCAACCAAGACAGCCCCACAACAUCCAGAGACUUGAGGUACUCUGGGCGGAUCUCAUCCACCCCCGGUGCCUUGCCACCGAGGAGUUUC
ensembl:lncRNA